CCCUGCCUUCCAUCCAGUUCACUGCCAGUUUGUUUAUUCGUUCCCAUGCAGAUGACUAAUGUCAGCUCCCCUUUUGGACUAUUAGCCUCCACACGGAGUUGUCAUCCUCUGACCAACACCCACCGUUACCCCUCGGACUAGCAUCCCUCUACCAGGGAAAUCAGAGGCCAGAGCUGCCCCAAUGGAUCUAAUUUUGCUCAAGGGCACUUCAGCAGAGCCAGUGCUGACACAGCAGUCUGAACCCCACUCAUCCAUCUGAAGAGCCUCUCCAAACCAUGGCUGUCCCAGUGUAUUUAGGCAGAUUAAUUAUUUUUCAUAUUCUGUUUUUCUCUCCUGCUAAGGUUAAUGCGGAUGAUCAGGCUUUAGCACUGCACUGCAGCCUGGCUGCCUUGUCAGUGCAUCCACAGAGGUCACAACUAAUACACUGUGGUUAGCUCAUAUAUUUCAGGCUGUGUUACGUGAUUU